AUUACAAUAGCAUAAAUAAUAAUGCUUUAAAUUUUUAAUUUAGUUAUGGAGUCUAAUUCUUGUAAUA
rnacentral:tRNA from 1 species